rnacentral:rRNA from 1 species
CCUACGGGUGGCAGCAGUCGAGAAUCAUUCACAAUGGGGGAAACCCUGAUGGUGCGACGCCGCGUGGGGGAAUGAAGGUCUUCGGAUUGUAAACCCCUGUCAUGUGGGAGCAAAUUAAAAAGAUAGUACCACAAGAGGAAGAGACGGCUAACUCUGUGCCAGCAGCCGCGGUAAUACAGAGGUCUCAAGCGUUGUUCGGAAUCACUGGGCGUAAAGCGUGCGUAGGCUGUUUCGUAAGUCGUGUGUGAAAGGUGCGGGCUCAACCCGCGGACGGCACAUGAUACUGCGAGACUAGAGUAAUGGAGGGGGAACCGGAAUUCUCGGUGUAGCAGUGAAAUGCGUAGAUAUCGAGAGGAACACUCGUGGCGAAGGCGGGUUCCUGGACAUUAACUGACGCUGAGGCACGAAGGCCAGGGGAGCGAAAUGGAUUAGAUACCCUAGUAGUC